rnacentral:misc_RNA from 1 species
GAUGAAGAACGCAGCGAAAUGCGAUAAGUAAUGUGAAUUGCAGAAUUCAGUGAAUCAUCGAAUCUUUGAACGCACCUUGCGCCCUUUGGCCAUUCCGAAGGGCAUGCCUGUUUGAGUAUCAUGAACACCUCAACUCUUUAUGGUUUUCCAUGAUGAGCUUGGACUCUGGGGGUUUUGCUGGCCUUUGGUCGGCUCCUCUCAAACGGAUCAGCUUUCCAGUGUUUGGUGGCGUCACGGGUGUGAUAACUAUCUACGCCUGUGGUUUUCUGCCAGAUAACCUUCAGCGAUGGAGGUUCGCUGGGGCUCAUAAAUGUCUCUCUUCAGUGGAGACAGCUUUUUGGACGUUUGAUCUCAAAUCAGGUAGGACUACCCGCUGAACUUAAGCAUAUCAAUAAGCGGAGGA